GGAGGCAGCAGUGGGGAAUAUUGGACAAUGGGCGCAAGCCUGAUCCAGCCAUACCGCGUGGGUGAAGAAGGCCUUCGGGUUGUAAAGCCCUUUUGUUGGGAAAGAAAUCCAGCUGGCUAAUACCCGGUUGGGAUGACGGUACCCAAAGAAUAAGCACCGGCUAACUUCGUGCCAGCAGCCGCGGUAAUACGAAGGGUGCAAGCGUUACUCGGAAUUACUGGGCGUAAAGCGUGCGUAGGUGGUCGUUUAAGUCCGUUGUGAAAGCCCUGGGCUCAACCUGGGAACUGCAGUGGAUACUGGGCGACUAGAGUGUGGUAGAGGGUAGCGGAAUUCCUGGUGUAGCAGUGAAAUGCGUAGAGAUCAGGAGGAACAUCCAUGGCGAAGGCAGCUACCUGGACCAACACUGACACUGAGGCACGAAAGCGUGGGGAGCAAACAGGAUUAGAUACCCUGGUAGUCCACGCCCUAAACGAUGCGAACUGGAUGUUGGGUGCAAUUUGGCACGCAGUAUCGAAGCUAACGCGUUAAGUUCGCCGCCUGGGGAGUACGGUCGCAAGACUGAAACUCAAAGGAAUUGACGGGGGCCCGCACAAGCGGUGGAGUAUGUGGUUUAAUUCGAUGCAACGCGAAGAACCUUACCUGGCCUUGACAUGUCGAGAACUUUCCAGAGAUGGAUUGGUGCCUUCGGGAACUCGAACACAGGUGCUGCAUGGCUGUCGUCAGCUCGUGUCGUGAAAUGUUGGGUUAAGUCCCGCAACGAGCGCAACCCUUGUCCUUAGUUGCCAGC
rnacentral:rRNA from 1 species